rnacentral:rRNA from 1 species
UACGUAGGGGGCAAGCGUUGUCCGGAAUCAUUGGGCGUAAAGCGCGUGUAGGCGGCCCGGUAAGUCCGCUGUGAAAGUCGGGGGCUCAACCCUCGAGUGCCGGUGGAUACUGUCGGGCUAGAGUGCGGGAGAGGCGAGUGGAAUUCCUGGUGUAGCGGUGAAAUGCGCAGAUAUCAGGAGGAACACCAAUUGCGAAGGCAGCUCGCUGGAACGUAACUGACGCUGAGACGCGAAAGCGUGGGGAGCAAACAGG